rnacentral:rRNA from 1 species
CCUACGUGGGGCAGCAGUGGGGAAUAUUGCGCAAUGGGCGAAAGCCUGACGCAGCGACGCCGCGUGAGGGAUGAAGGUCUUCGGAACGUAAACCUCUGGCAGCAGGGAAGAACGGUCAAGGGGCUAAUCAGCAGUGAAUUGACGGUACCGGCAAAGGAAGCACCGGCGAACUCCGUGCCAGCAGCCGCGGUAAUACGGAGGGUGCGAGCGUUAAUCGGAAUUACUGGGCGUAAAGCGCUCGUAGGCGGUAUGUCAAGUCAAGGGGGAAAUCCCCGCGCGCACCGUGGGAACUGCCUUUGAAACUGGCAAACUGUAGUGUGUGAGAGGCUAGUGGAAUUCACGGUG